GAAAUCCUUUACAUUUCCUGAUAACUAACAGCCGGCAGAAACCAGAACUCAAUGUUUGUACCGGAAGACAACAUUGCAUAAAAACAGCUUCAAAAAGGGCUUGAUGGAUUUGAGUGAAGAGGACUGUGCCCCUCUGGUGUAUCGAGACAGAGGUGGUAGUCAGAAAUCUGAUUGUAGUUCAGGUCACAGUUUACAAAUCCAUCUAUACUUCAUUCCUGGCACCAAAGAAGAGACCAUUAUAAACAUAUCAUGCAAUCAUGUCUCUGCUGAAGAUGUCUGCAAACAAGCUGCAGCCAAAUGUGGGAUAUUUCCAGUUUAUCAGAGUCUUUUCGCUCUGGCGUCUACUGAUUUGUCUUUCUGGUAUCCUCCAUCACAUAUGUUCAACGGAGAUGAAAACCUGCUUGUACAUUUUAGAGUAAGGUUUUUCUUUGAAAAUUGGUAUGGCCAAGAACCAAAGACAUCUUAUCGCCAUAGCCUGACCAGAGACAGAAUGAAUCCUGUUGUAGACUGCGGUGUCAUUGAUUACCUCUUUGCACAGUGGAGAAGUGAUUUCAUCAACAGUGAGGCAGGAAAGUCCCCACCUUUGACCGCGCAGGAGGACUGUCUGGGGCUGGUCGUGCUGGAUUUAUGGAGAAUGGCCAAAGAGCGACAUCAGAGUGUGAGAGAGCUGUGUAGAUCUGUCAGCUACAAAUCCUGCCUGCCUAAAACUCAUCGUCAUGACAUCCAACAAAGAAGUCGCCUGGAUCGGUACCGAAUCCGAAACACUUUGAAGCGUUUCUUAAGGAAGCUUGGGAACAAUUCAGUAGAUGCAUGCACCCUUAAAGUCAAAUACCUGAUAGAACUGUCUGCUAUCAAACCAUCUUUGGGGAGUGAAGUCUUUCAGGUGGAUGGAUCUUUUUCGAAGUUCACUCAUGUGCGCAUCAGUGGAGAAUCUGGUAUUCAGACAAAAAGAGAUGAGAGGCUUGAUGAACCAAUGGAAUGGGAGACGUUUUGUGAUUUCCAAGACAUCAUUGACAUUAGUGUUCAGCGGGUUUGUCUUGAAAAUGCAGGACAAGACAGCAGAUUAGUCACAGUAACUCGCAGGGAUGACAGAUGUUUGGAAGCCAAGUUCACCAGUCUGAAAGAAGCUCUCUCAUUUGUGUCUCUUAUUGAUGGCUACUUCAGACUGACUACAGACUCAACCCACUUCUUCUGUCAAAGCAUUGCUCCACCAAGUAUUCUGGAGGGAAUCAGAAACCACUGUCAUGGACCCAUUACAUCGGACUUUGCCAUGAACAAGUUGAAAAAGUCUGGAUUUAGAGGGGGCGCAUUUCUCUUACGACAAAGUCCUAAGAGUUAUGACAACUACCUCCUGACUGUUUGCAUUCAGACCCCGAUUGGACUGGACUACAAAGACUGUCUCAUCAUAAAGAAUGAAAACUUCAGUCUUCCUGGGGUCCAAAAAUCAUUUUCCAGUUUAAAGGAGCUCACAAGCUUUUACCAGCAUAAUAAAAUCAUUUUGGCCGACAUUCCCAUUAAACUAGGUCGCUGUUGUCCCCCCAAGCCUAAAGAACUCACAAAUCUAAUCAUAAUUCGAGGCAACAGUUCAGUGGAAGAGCAAGACUCCCCUUGCCCUGAAAGAAGCAAAUUCAAUCACAUCCAGUUUCACAUGAUCAAAUAUGAGGACCUAAAAUGGGGUGAUAGCCUUGGACAGGGAUCCUUUACCAGGAUUUUUAAGGGCUCCAAAAUUGAUAUGAAUGAAGGAGAGAAACAUGUGACAGAAGUUCUCCUCAAAGAACUAGAUGUGGUUCACAAGAACUGCUGGGAGUCUUUCUUCGAAGCCGCCAGCCUUAUGAGUCAGGUUUCUUACAAGCACCUCCUUCUUGUGUAUGGUGUCAGUGUACAUGCUGCUAAGAAUAUAAUGGUGCAAGAGUUUGUCAAGUACGGGGCACUAGACCUUUACUUGAAGAGAGGAGUUUCUGUCUCAGUGAGCUGGAAACUUGAUGUAGCAAAACAGCUUGCAUCAGCACUCAACUUCCUAGAAGAAAAGAACAUAGUCCAUGGGAAUAUCUGUGCUAAAAAUCUGCUUUUGGCUCGAGAAGGAGACCCAUCACAGGGGGACUUGCCCUUCAUCAAACUGAGUGAUCCUGGCGUGAGUGUGGCCAUGCUGGGCAAAGAUGUGGUUCUGGACCGUAUCCCUUGGGUCGCUCCUGAAGUGGUGGAGGCUCCGGAGAAGCUCAGCCUGGAGUCAGACAAGUGGAGUUAUGGUGCCACUUUGUGGGAAAUCUUCAACAGGAACACUCCUUUGAGAGGCUGGGACUUAGACAGGAAGCGUCAGUUUUACGAGUCUUUCCAGCAGUUGCCUCGCUCACAGUGGACAGAGUUAGCUGAUCUGAUCAGUCAGUGCAUGGACUACCAGGCAGACUUCAGACCCUCAUCACGCAGCAUUAUCCGACAAAUAAACAGUCUCAUCACGUCAGAUUAUGUGAUACUACACGCGACAGAUUCUGUAUCACAGAAUGCAGUUUGGAAAGCCCUGACUCCACAGCAAAAUGACAUGCUGUUUGAAGAGCGUCACCUGUGUUACAUCUCACUGCUUGGAAAGGGUAACUUUGGCAGUGUUGAACUCUGUCGCUAUGACCCAUUGGGGGACAGCACUGGUGAUCUUGUAGCUGUGAAGAAGCUGCAGCCAAACAAGCAGUCCACUGUUGAGGAUUUCCACAAAGAAGUCAAUACUCUGAGUGCAUUGAAUUGUGAUUAUAUUGUUAAGUACAGAGGAAUCUGCUACAGCACAGGUAAAAACACUCUUUUUAAGCAACAUUAAAGGUGCCCUGUGUAACUUUUCUGGAGGAGGACCCCAACCUGUUUGUCUUCAUGGGGAUGUUACUGCUUUGGUUUAAAUUCACAAUAUAUAGUCUUAAACUAAUCUGUCUUACAAUGAGUUUGUAUACAUGCACAUUAGUAUCCCGGUUAUUAGCUAUAUCCCGGUUUUGUCAGUAUUCGUGCAUGCUGAGAAACCGGGAUACUCAUAUCCCUGUAUACAUGAUCAAAUGUAGUAUCCCGGUUUCUUGACAUAAUCUUACAAAUGCGCAAGCGCAAAAAUUCACUUAAAUCAAUUUAAUAAACCAAGAAAAAUACAAACCAUGAGCUCCUUUAGCAUAGGAAGCUCGGGAGGUUUAACCAGCGGUAAGGAGCUAUGAAGUAUCCCACAAUCCACUGCGAAGAUCAAACCGAACAGAUUCUUCAUUAAAAUCUUCUGCAUAAAUAAACUCAACUUUACAACAUAUAAACCAUAACCACUAUAGAGCCACAUCAGUCCGUUUGAUAAUAUAAUUCAGCUUUGAUCACAUUUGUUUACGUUUUACAGAAACAAAACUUAAGACUGCAUGGUUAAUAAAAACAGCUCGCUUCUUGUGCCGCUGAUGCGAUCAGCUUCUUUCGGACUGAAGAACACGACUCUGUCUAUUACAUGUGUUUUUUUUCUGACAGAAGAGAUGCUAAUGAUGGUAAGUCUGUUCUGUGCUUGCACUGUAUAGGAGAUAGUUCAUGUUUUAGCUUUUCGGCGAUUAUACGCGUGCAGGUCAUACGAGAGUGCAGAUUGUACGUGUGCAGGUUUAGCGCAGCUCUUAAUUUUAGUCAUUUCGCUCAUGUAUGGUCACUGUAUUUAUGUUGGUCACUUUAUUUUGUCACUACUAUUGUGUGAAAAGACUGGAAAGUGUUUGUCUUUUGGACGCAUGCGCACUCAACUCUAUUUUGCAGUAACCGGGAUACUGUGUAUACAUGCAACAGUAUCCCGGUUACUAUCGGAAUAAACCAGCUACAGUAUCUAUACUGAAUACUGAUACUGAAACCAGGGUACGGCGUAUACAUGCACCAUGAAGAAACCGGGAUACUCAAAAAACCUGAUCAUAACCGGAAUACUGAUGUACAUUUAUACGCACUCAUUUAUUCAGCUGCAGGUGUUAUUUAUUGCUCAAAAAACAAAACAAAACAAAAAAAAACAUUCAUUCUUAGUGGGGUCGCCUUACCACAAAUCUAACCUGUAGCUUCCUCUCAUGGAGAUUCACUCCAUAUUGUGGAAUAAUGACUCUCCACCAGAGUAGUGCACUUUUUAAAAGUACUCUGUGUUGUUGAAGUUUUCUGCUUGUCCAAGAAAGGUUGGAAGUAAAAGGCUGGAGACCAACUGGAUGUCUUAAGCAGGAGAAGUUUAUUUAUCAAUCAGUAAUCAUCAAUAAUUGAAAAGGCUUGAAAAAUCAACAUAGUAUGAUUUCAAAAGUGAACAUAGUAUAAUCUUUGAGUGUUCAGUCCCUUUUCUGUGCUUCCAAAGGAGAAGGCCAGUAGGCACCGGUUAGACGGCAAUAUGCCACAAUUUAGAUAAUGGUAAAUGGUCACUCAAAGCACUUUACAACAAGGAACCACUCACCCAGUCACACACACAUUCACACACCAGUGUACGCAGACACUGUGGGCCGCCUGAUAAUGGCAUGCCAAUGGUAUGCCAACGGAAGAUCAUGGUGUAAAUAUAGCUUUUGUGAGUCAAUGUUAAACUGAGAUGUACGUGGAAGAUAAAUUACUUAAAUUCUCCUACACUCUGAUCAAUAUUUCUGUUCAAUGUAACACAAGGACUUAGUUAUAUUAUUACUGCAAUAACCAGCAUGCUAAUUAGUCAGUGUACUAGUAAAGUAUUGAAACUGUACACAUAAGGUACAGUACUUUAAAUCCUUCACAAUUAAAUGUAUUAUAUACCAGUUGAUACUUUGCAGUGACAUCACACUGGGGGUCUUCUACAUGUAUCUGUAUGGCAGAAUGAUUAGGAGUUAGCAUGGUGAUACAAUGCACACAUUAGCAAACACUGCCAAAAAGUUUUAAGAUUUUUUUUUUUUUUUUUAAGAAGUUUUCAGGACAUUUUCAGGAGCCUGUGAUCAGUACAGUACAAUACAAUACAAAGUGAGAGUGACUAACUGAGAAACUGUUGGGUAAUGCUGGCUAGCUUGUAACCCCCAAUUCACACCAAAGCGCAACGGCGCGUAAGCGCAGCAGCACAGAACACGAGCAGCACACGCGCUGCCUUAGAACUCCAUUUUAACCGGUCUGACCGUUCACACCAACAGUGUCAUACGCGCGUCCAACGAGUGUCUGACGCUGACGCGCUGCUCAAGAGGUUGGACUUCUAAUUUUGCAGCGUCAAUGGUGCGUCUCCAAGGUUUUUAGCAGGGGAAAGACAGGAAAUAAACACGCGGAGUCAAAAUAAACUUCCGAUACCCUUUCAAAAUAAUUUAACCAAAGUCAAGACAGCGACGUAAACAACGCGCACGUGAUUUACGAUGUCAGACACCAGUUCUACAAGGACUCAGGACUAAACCAGGACUAAACCAGGACUAAACCAGGACUAAACCAGCACUCACUGUCGAAAUAUACUCGGAGGUCCUUCCGUGUAGCCCCGAGUGUCCGCGGGCGAAAGGACCAGUGCAGAGCUUGGAAAAGAGGUCGCCUUAACAUGAGCCUGGUGAUGGAAUACCUGCCGUUUGGGAGUUUAAUUAACUACAUGGAGAAAUUCCCUGACAGUGUGAACAUCAGAAGGCUGCUGCUUUUUGCCUCUCAAAUCUGGCAUGAAGUAUCUCCAGGACAAACGCUAUGUCCAUCGAGAUCUCGCAGCCA